rnacentral:antisense_RNA from 1 species
CGCGGACAGAGAGAAAUGCCGAGGAAUAGGGGCGCGGCCGCCCGGUUUCGGCGAUGGGUUAUAGGGUCCGCGUCAGCCCCGCGCCCGCACAGCCAACGUCACGCCGCAUUCUUAUUUCCAAAGACCCCUGGAGCUUGGGGUCCCACCCCAGCGGUCUUUCGGGGCGUCCCCUGCCCUUCACGCGCCGCGCCGGCUCGGCCCGAAGCGCCCUGCGGACCCGCAGCCUGGGCCGCCCCGAACCUGACGGCCCCGCGGGGGUCGGACGCGGGAGGAACGGCCUCGCUUUCAGAGACGCAGCGGGAGGGCGGUCCCCGCUGUCCCUCUGGCCGGGUCCUCAGCACGCGUUCUCCUCACUCCCAGGACUAGCCGAGCGGCGGGCGCGGACCGGGGCCUGGGGUCGGAGGCGGCGCAGCCAGAAAGGCCCCAGCGGCGCUGAGACGUUUGGGGGAAGGCGGGGGCUUCGCGUUUCGAUGGCGGGAAGCGGAAUGAGGUUGGACCGGCCGGGCCGGCGUUCAGGGACCCGGCGGGAGGAGGAGGGCUGGCGUCCUCGCGGUCAUCCAUCUGCAGCGAACCAGGCAGAGGCUUUGGGAUUAGAUCCUUGACUCCUUGCGUCAGUAGUUAAGCUUUGUGAUGGUCUGAGGUCCAUGAAGGGAUUAAAACCAGGAACUGGCUCCUUCUCCAACCACUAAAGCCUCAUCUGGGCCCCCAAGCCCUGGCUGUUCCCUGGAGCGUGACUGGAAGAUGUGAGCAGCUUUGUGCUGGAGCCCUAUUUCCAUGGUGCAUGCUGCUGCCAAACCAGAGAUCACUUGUAGACUUGAAAGGGAACAUGAGCUUUGGGUGAAGGAUUCCCAGCCCCCAACAGAGGCCAAAAAGCUACCACCCAGCCAGGCAGAAGGAAAAUAAAGUAUGCAUUUUAUGAUACGACUCAGCUUGGAGGGAUGAAGUAGAAGGUCCUCUCUGCACCUCAUGGCAGGCUGCUGACGGCAGAUAUUUAACCGGGCUCACUGAACUGGGCAGUCAGGGAAGGGUCGGCUCCUGCUCUGUCCAGCUGUCUUCAUAAGGGACUCUGUGACACUUUUUAUAAAGAUGACUUUGAUUUCUGCAUAAGAAGGCUUCCCAAGCUUGCUGUCUAGCAGUGGCUGCUACAGGGAAUUAUUCACAUGGCAGCAAGAGAGCCCUGGCUCCCUGGACCAGGACAUUCCCUUUGUGUGUGUUGGAAUGAGAGCAGGAGGAGUGCUGGUCAGAAGCCCCUCCCCAGGGCUCUGUGACUUCAGUGUUCUCAGACGAACUGGGCCGCUCCUCUGAGCUGGGAUGCUGACCCACACUUGUCCCCGGCUCUGGCAUCCACAGGACACUG